GUGCCUGCCGGGUGCCGAAUGCCGGGAGGGUGGUCCCUGCUGCCCAGCCCCUGCUGGCCUCUCCCUGUGCACAGCAGGUCAGGAUGGGGAGGUGCCUGGUGCCCCAGCUGCCUGCCCUCCCUGUGUGCCUCACCGUGGUCCAGCUGCUCAGCCCCUGCUCAGGUGUCUGUCACCUCGCCCUCCCAGCCUGGGCCACCCCCUGGCCCUCUGGGCCUGCUCAGUCUGAUGGAGCCCCCCCUUCUGAUGACCAGCUGAGUUUGCUGUGGUCGGACCCCCCGAGCCCAUCCUGGCCAUGGUGGGUGAAGACGCAGACCUGCCCUGUCGCCUGUCCCCGAACAUGAGCGCUGAGACCCUGCAGCUGAUGUGGGUGCGACCCAGCCGCAGGCAGGUAGUGCACGUGUACGCACAUGGGCAGGAGGACACGCCGGCAGAGCAGUUUCGAGGGAGAACUUCGAUUUCACGAGAGGACGUCACUGCGGGGAAGGCCGCUCUCCGGAUUCGCAACGUCAGCGUCUCUGACAGCGGAACCUACCUGUGUUAUUUCCAAGAUGGAGACUUCUAUGCAAAAGCCCAGGUGGAGCUGCAGGUGGCAGGUGAGGCUCAGGCUUGUUCCAGGCUUC